rnacentral:rRNA from 1 species
CUUCUUAGAGGGACUAGAUACGUUUAGUGUCUGGAAGUUUGAGGCAAUAACAGGUCUGUGAUGCCCUUAGAUGUUCUGGGCUGCACGCGCGCUACACUGACAGAGGCAGCGAGUACUUCGGGACCUUGGCCGGAAGGCCUG